rnacentral:rRNA from 1 species
UACGGGGGGAGGCAAGCGUUGUUCGGAUUUACUGGGCGUAAAGGGCGCGUAGGCGGCCAGCACAAGUCAGUUGUGAAAUCUCCGAGCUUAACUCGGAAAGGUCAACUGAUACUGUGCGGCUAGAGUGCGGAAGGGGCAACUGGAAUUCUUGGUGUAGCGGUGAAAUGCGCAGAUAUCAGGAGGAACACCAAUUGCGAAGGCAGCUCGCUGGGACGUUACUGACGCUGAGACGCGAAAGCGU